rnacentral:rRNA from 1 species
UACGGGGGGGAGCAAGCGUUGUUCGGAUUUACUGGGCGUAAAGGGCGCGUAGGCGGUCAGCACAAGUCAGUUGUGAAAUCUCCGGGCUUAACUCGGAAAGGUCAACUGAUACUGUGCGACUAGAGUGCAGAAGGGGCAACUGGAAUUCUCGGUGUAGCGGUGAAAUGCGUAGAUAAUCGAGAGGAACACCUGCGGCGAAGGCGGGUUGCUGGGCUGACACGUGACGCUGAGGCGCGAAGCCAGGGGAGCGAACGGG